UGAUGAAGGCCAGGUGUUGUUCCACACAUAGCCAGAAAGCAGAAGAUGAAGUGGGCACCUACAGAAUGGAGGAGGAGGCUAGACAGAGGCAACUAGCCCAAUUCUGAGCUCAUUUGUGUAGGAACUCCAGGUGCUCUAGCACAAGGCAAUAUGAAAUUGAUCAACUAUUGAUAGGAAAUGUGCCAGAGGCCUCAGAAUUUCAUAAAGAAGAAACAACAUUUCAAUAGCAAAAGUUUGAACAAAAAGACUUUGCUAUCACUUGGCAACAAAUCAAGGAAAUGAUAAAGAAAUGUCCUACUUGUUCUUUAUACAACCAAGCUCCACUACCUGUGGGAAGUAACACAAAGGAUACUCAGAGGAAUGAAAUCUGGAAGAUGGAUGUGUUCUGUUUUGUAGAAUUUGGAAAAUUAAGUUUGUCACAGGUGUCACUGCUGAGAGUCAUCUGAGGCCAGUGAUCAGCGCCCCGGAUCUGAAUUCGGUGGCGGGAUCCGACUCAGCAAGGCCUCAGUGGCAGUUCUGCCUCCAUCCACAAGCCCAGAUUGGAACUUGGCAGCAGAAUCCCAAACACCCAGGAUACUCCCAAGGCCCUGGUGGCAGCUCUGACUCCAUCUGCUGGCCCAGGGGGACCCAACACAAACAAACACUGCUGAGGCCCUGGUAACAGUGCCAACUCUAUCCACCAGAAGAAUACAGAUAUCAGAAUAUUGGAUCUGUUUGCAUCUACCAGAAGGGAACCUUGGUCCCAUACCCACCAGGAGAGCAAGAGACUCCUGCUACACCCACCAGAAGAAGGAUGAGAAGAGGACAAGGUAA